GACGAACGCUGGCGGCGUGCCUAAUACAUGCAAGUCGAGCGCAGGAAGUCAUCCGAACCCUUCGGGGGGACGUUGACGGAAUGAGCGGCGGACGGGUGAGUAACACGUAAAGAACCUGCCCUCAGGUCUGGGAUAACCACGAGAAAUCGGGGCUAAUACCGGAUGGGUCAUCGGACCGCAUGGUCCGAGGAUGAAAGGCGCUCCGGCGUCGCCUGGGGAUGGCUUUGCGGUGCAUUAGCUAGUUGGUGGGGUAAUGGCCCACCAAGGCGACGAUGCAUAGCCGACCUGAGAGGGUGAUCGGCCACACUGGGACUGAGACACGGCCCAGACUCCUACGGGAGGCAGCAGUAGGGAAUCUUCCACAAUGGACGAAAGUCUGAUGGAGCAACGCCGCGUGAACGAUGAAGGCCCUCGGGUCGUAAAGUUCUGUUGUAAGGGAAGAACAAGUGCCGCAGGCAAUGGCGGCACCUUGACGGUACCUGGCGAGAAAGCCACGGCUAACUACGUG
rnacentral:rRNA from 1 species